UGAGACCUGAUGCCGAGCCGAUUGUGGUGAAGUGGAUGAUCCUAUGCUGUCGAGAAAAGCCUCUAGCGAGUUUCAUGGCGGCCCGUACCCUAAACCGACUCAGGUGGUCAGGUAGAGAAUACCGAGGCGUUCGGGUGAACUAUGGUUAAGGAACUCGGCAAAAUGCCCCCGUAACUUCGGGAGAAGGGGGGCCAUUCCUGGUGAUGGGCUUUACGUCUUGAGCUGGGGGUGGCCGCAGAGACCAGCGAGAAGCGACUGUUUACUAAAAACACAGGUCCGUGCGAAGCCGUAAGGCGAUGUAUACGGACUGACGCCUGCCCGGUGCUGGAACGUUAAGGGGACCGGUUAGCUCCAUUUCGGUGGGGCGAGGCUGAGAACUUAAGCGCCAGUAAACGGCGGUGGUAACUAUAACCAUCCUAAGGUAGCGAAAUUCCUUGUCGGGUAAGUUCCGACCUGCACGAAUGGCGUAACGACUUCUCGACUGUCUCAACCAUAGGCCCGGUGAAAUUGCACUACGAGUAAAGAUGCUCGUUUCGCGCAGCAGGACGGAAAGACCCCGGGACCUUUACUAUAGCUUGAUAUUGGUGUUCGGUUCGGCUUGUGUAGGAUAGGUGGGAGACUGUGAAGCUAUGGCGCCAGCCGUGGUGGAGUCGUCGUUGAAAUACCACUCUGGUCGUGCUGGAUGUCUAACCUGGGUCCGUGAUCCGGAUCAGGGACAGUGUCUGGUGGGUAGUUUAACUGGGGCGGUUGCCUCCUAAAGAGUAACGGAGGCGCCCAAAGGUUCCCUCAGCCUGGUUGGCAAUCAGGUGUUGAGUGUAAGUGCACAAGGGAGCUUGACUGUGAGACCGACGGGUCGAGCAGGGACGAAAGUCGGGACUAGUGAUCCGGCGGUGGCUUGUGGAAGCGCCGUCGCUCAACGGAUAAAAGGUACCCCGGGGAUAACAGGCUGAUCUUCCCCAAGAGUCCAUAUCGACGGGAUGGUUUGGCACCUCGAUGUCGGCUCGUCGCAUCCUGGGGCUGGAGUCGGUCCCAAGGGUUGGGCUGUUCGCCCAUUAAAGCGGUACGCGAGCUGGGUUUAGAACGUCGUGAGACAGUUCGGUCCCUAUCCGCUGUGCGCGUAGGAGUCUUGAGAAGGGCUGUCCCUAGUACGAGAGGACCGGGACGGACGAACCUCUGGUGUGCCAGUUGUCCUGCCAAGGGCAUGGCUGGUUGGCUACGUUCGGAAAGGAUAACCGCUGAAAGCAUCUAAGCGGGAAGCCUGCUUCGAGAUGAGGGCUCCCUCCCCCUUUGAGGGGUUAAGGCUCCCAGUAGACGACUGGGUUGAUAGGCCAGAUAUGGAAGCCUGGUAACGGGUGGAGUUGACUGGUACUAAUAGGCCGAGGGCUU
rnacentral:rRNA from 1 species